rnacentral:rRNA from 1 species
CUAUACAUGCAAGUCGAGCGAACAGAUAAGGAGCUUGCUCCUUUGACGUUAGCGGCGGACGGGUGAGUAACACGUGGAUAACCUACCUAUAAGACUGGGAUAACUUCGGGAAACCGGAGCUAAUACCGGAUAACAUUUUGAACCGCAUGGUUCAAUAGUGAAAGGCGGCUUUGCUGUCACUUAUAGAUGGAUCCGCGCCGUAUUAGCUAGUUGGUAAGGUAACGGCUUACCAAGGCAACGAUACGUAGCCGACCUGAGAGGGUGAUCGGCCACACUGGAACUGAGACACGGUCCAGACUCCUACGGGAGGCAGCAGUAGGGAAUCUUCCGCAAUGGGCGAAAGCCUGACGGAGCAACGCCGCGUGAGUGAUGAAGGUCUUCGGAUCGUAAAACUCUGUUAUCAGGGAAGAACAAAUGUGUAAGUAACUGUGCACAUCUUGACGGUACCUGAUCAGAAAGCCACGGCUAACUACGUGCCAGCAGCCGCGGUAAUACGUAGGUGGCAAGCGUUAUCCGGAAUUAUUGGGCGUAAAGCGCGCGUAGGCGGUUUUUUAAGUCUGAUGUGAAAGCCCACGGCUCAACCGUGGAGGGUCAUUGGAAACUGGAAAACUUGAGUGCAGAAGAGGAAAGUGGAAUUCCAUGUGUAGCGGUGAAAUGCGCAGAGAUAUGGAGGAACACCAGUGGCGAAGGCGACUUUCUGGUCUGUAACUGACGCUGAUGUGCGAAAGCGUGGGGAUCAAACAGGAUUAGAUACCCUGGUAGUCCACGCCGUAAACGAUGAGUGCUAAGUGUUAGGGGGUUUCCGCCCCUUAGUGCUGCAGCUAACGCAUUAAGCACUCCGCCUGGGGAGUACGACCGCAAGGUUGAAACUCAAAGGAAUUGACGGGGACCCGCACAAGCGGUGG